rnacentral:rRNA from 1 species
GACGAACGCUGGCGGCGUGCCUAAUACAUGCAAGUUGAGCGCUGAAGGUAGGUACUUGUACCAACUGGAUGAGCAGCGAACGGGUGAGUAACGCGUGGGGAAUCUGCCUUUGAGCGGGGGACAACAUUUGGAAACGAAUGCUAAUACCGCAUAAAAACUUUAAACACAAGUUUUAAGUUUGAAAGAUGCAAUUGCAUCACUCAAAGAUGAUCCCGCGCUGUAUUAGCUAGUUGGUGAGGUAAAGGCUCACCAAGGCGAUGAUACAUAGCCGACCUGAGAGGGUGAUCGGCCACAUUGGGACUGAGACACGGCCCAAACUCCUACGGGAGGCAGCAGUAGGGAAUCUUCGGCAAUGGACGAAAGUCUGACCGAGCAACGCCGCGUGAGUGAAGAAGGUUUUCGGAUCGUAAAACUCUGUUGGUAGAGAAGAACGUUGGUGAGAGUGGAAAGCUCAUCAAGUGACGGUAACUACCCAGAAAGGGGCGGCUAACUACGUG